GAAAAAAUCUGAUCCCAUUAUCAUGAUUUACGAAUCAUGAAAAUUAUAAAUUGCUCUUGGGACGAAAUCAUGAUUCAGACUCAUGAUUUUUGAAGCUGAGCUACCACUAUCAUGAUUCAGAGCAACCAUUUUCAUGAGCUCCAAAUCAUGACCAUGAAAAGCGUUACGCACACGGUGCACCUGUCAAAACGUGUUUAGCAAAGCUUGUGCAAAGCAUAGUUGGCUGCGCAUUCACGGAAAAGUUGCCCUUUUUUUUAAAAAAAAGUUCACUUUUAUUGCCGGUUUCCUGCGCCGCUGUUGCUCUACUGUCGUUCCUGCUCUACUAUUCCGUUCCUGCUCCGUUGAUAUCGAGCUAUUCCGGCUCUGCAGAACUACCGCCGUUUCAUUCUGUUCCUUUCCUGCCGUGGCUGUUGCCCGUUCCGGCUCCUGUGUACCCGUUCCGGCUCCGCAUUGAGGGAAAAUUCUUCCGGCUCCGCUCUACUAACUACCGCCGUUUUAUUGUCCCAGUGCCACUGUCGCCAUUCCGGCCGCGGCUGUUGCCGUCCAAUAGGUGCAUCCGUUCCGGCUCCGCAUUGAGUGACCAGCUCCGCCCUACCAACUACCGCUCCCGAUUUUGUUGCCGUUCCGGACGAUUCGUUUUCAGCCUUGGCUGGUUCCGCCCAGUAGGUGUUCCCGUUCCGACUUCCCCCACAACUACCGAACGCAGGUGAUAUAGAAGGGAGGAUCGAGCGGCGACUGAACCAUCUCCGCGAAAAAUUUGGGGAAUCAUCGCUUCAACCUCAAAUUGUCGCAGUGGGCACGAGCAACUCAACAAAAGCAACGAUGGUUAUUUUUGGCGGCGCGGAGUAUAUCGCAGAUAAUAUUGUGCAUGCUGUAUGCAUUUGUAUGCAUAUCACUUAUGUGCUAAAUUUGCGUUAUACUCCGGACUGCAAACCGCUGUGGCUCUUUGUUCAGUCAUACCUGUUCAAAAUCCCGGCGUCCAUUAUUGAGCUCCCGAAGAGCACACGUGAUUUGCUAAAAGGUAUAGAUAAUUAAACUGGAAGAUCGUUUUUUUUUUCUUAAAAUAAUCUUUUUUCAAGUGAAAAGAAUAGAAUAAAUGAAUUAAACUCAAAACCCCAAAAUAUGUUUUAAAUAAAUGUUGUACUCACAAAUAGCUUAAGGUGAAGGUGCAGUGCGUUUACUUUCAAAACUAUGCAUUUUGCCUCGCGUUUUCUCGAGCACCAAUCUGAAA